rnacentral:pre_miRNA from 1 species
AGCGGAAUUGCUGGGUUGUAUGAUAAGUGAAUGUUCACUUUUUUAAGAAACUCCCUAACUCUUCCAAAGUGAUUGUGCCAUUUCCAUUGCCAGCAGCAGG